UGGUUGACAAUCUGAUUAAUAACAGACACCUGCCAGAGAUCAGACUAGCAUUACACACAAGAAACUGCAGGAACACAUCAACACACAGAAGUCCUCUCUGAAUGCCGAAGAUGUUGUGAGUGAAACACGAGCUGUGUUUGAGGUUCUGCUCUCUGUCUGGAGGAGAUUUCUGCUUCAGCUGCUGGAGGUCAGGAGGAGGUGGCAGGAGAAGCAGGGAGCAACCGUUGACCUCUGACCUCUUUCUGGACUCUGUGAAACACAGCGAUAGCCUUCCAGCUCUCGGACUCGUCUGACUCUAGCAGCUCGGACCCGUUCUCUGGAGAAAUGCAUUGACGGGCCGCUUGUUUAAUCAAAUGCUUCAUUAGAGAACGAUCAGUGCUGUUUGUGUGUAUAAAGUGUGUGCACAAUAAAAAGAUAAAUGU